CACAGUAAACGAUGGAUGCCCGCUGUUUGCGAUAUACUGUGAGCGGCCAAGAGAAAUCGUUAAGCAUCCCACCUGGGGAGUACGCCGGCAACGGUGAAACUCAAAGGAAUUGACGGGGGCCCGCACAAGCGGAGGAACAUGUGGUUUAAUUCGAUGAUACGCGAGGAACCUUACCCGGGCUUGAACUGCCAGCGAACGAUUCGGAGAUGAUGAGGUCCUUCGGGACGCUGGUGGAGGUGCUGCAUGGUUGUCGUCAGCUCGUGCCGUGAGGUGUCGGCUUAAGUGCCAUAACGAGCGCAACCCUUUUCUUUAGUUGCCAUCAGGUGAUGCUGGGCACUCUGGAGAUACUGCCACCGUAAGGUGUGAGGAAGGUGGGGAUGACGUCAAAUCAGCACGGCCCUUACGUCCGGGGCUACACACGUGUUACAAUGGGGAGUACAGAGAGUCGGCCGCACGCAAGUUCGGUCUAAUCAAGAAAGCUCUCCUCAGUUCGGAUUGGGGUCUGCAACCCGACC
rnacentral:rRNA from 1 species